CGUAGGGUGCGAGCGUUAAUCGGAAUUACUGGGCGUAAAGCGUGCGCAGGCGGUUUGUUAAGAUAGGCGUGAAAUCCCCGGGCUCAACCUGGGAACUGCGCUUAUGACUGGCAAGCUAGAGUACGGCAGAGGGGGUGGAAUUCCACGUGUAGCAGUGAAAUGCGUAGAGAUGUGGAGGAACACCAAUGGCGAAGGCAGCCCCCUGGGUCGAUACUGACGCUCAUGCACGAAAGCGUGGGUAGCAAACAGGAUUAGAUACCCUGGUAGUCCACGCCCUAAACGAUGUCAACUAGGUGUUGGGAGGGUAAAACCUUUUAGUACCGGAGCUAACGCGUGAAGUUGACCGCCUGGGGAGUACGGCCGCAAGGUU
rnacentral:rRNA from 1 species